rnacentral:ncRNA from 12 species
CCUAUUGAGUGUUGCAUCAAAUGAUAGUAGAAGUAAAGUCUUACUUUACUUUGAAGUCAGACACGUUGAUGUAGGAA